AUGGAGGUGAGGCCGGGGCGUCGCCUGCGUUUCCCGCAGCCGCAGCUGUGUAGCCCAAGCGGCGGCGGCGGCGAACCGGAUCGCAUCAGCAACCUCCCGCAGGAGCUCCUCCUCCUCAUCCUCACCCUCAUGUGAUGCGCUGCCACCGCCGCGCGCACCAGCAUCCUCUCCCGCCGGUGGCGCGAUCUCUGGACGCAUCUCCGCCGAAUCGUCUUCCACAACCUCGCGCCGUCGAUUGUACCGGCGCUCGGCCGUGUCUGUGCCCCCCCGGCCGCGGCCGCGGUCUCCCUCCUGGAAGUCCGCAUCCCCAGCAGCAGCAGGCAUCCCGGGCCCUUCGGCGCCACGGCCACCAGGCUGCUCGGCGCCGCUGUGGGGCUGGAGCCGGAGGAGAUCGUCCUCAGCUUCCCGUGGGGCGUUGAAUUCGAAGACCGGCGGAACAUCGUCCGGCUGCCGUGCUUCCAGCGGACCAAAUCUCUCAUGAUGGAAAGGCUUCUCUUCUACUGCCCUGACGGCGAGUUCACCGUGCUCCGGACGCUGUCCAUCUCCUACGGCCUCGGCGGCCUCCACAGCUUGCUCCCCCGAUGCCUGCACCUCCUCGUGCUCAGCCUCAAGUUUGUCAACGAUGGCUUCGGACUUGUCCGGAAUGGCUUCAUCUCACUCCACUUGCCAUCGCUGCUGGAACUUUUCCUUGAGAGCAACAUAAUGUACGCAGAUGCAGCCGAUAUCGUCGCCCCUCUGCUGAAGCGACUCACGGUGUCCUUCGGCACUUACAAGCUGCUCAGCAGCAUCUCCGUCUCGGCGCCAAUCUUGGAGAAGGUUUCGUGGCAGUGCUGGUAUUUGGGGGACGGGAGCAUCGUCCGGUUUGGUCGUUGGAGCCUCCAGAGGUUGUGGCUACACACAGGAGACAGCUUCCUACUUCGCUCCACAUUAGUGCCUCUGCCUCCAAUCUCCUGGUUUAUUUCCAAUGAAGACAACUUUGCCCAGGAGAUACAGAAGCACCUGGUUGCUGAUUUCUCUAUUUUGGAGCUACGUCUCCUAAAAGCCGGACAUGUUUUUGGAGCACUGGUGUUUCAUCUCCUCGGGAUUACUUGUAUUUCUAAGGGUAUACAGAGGCUUAAGAUCGUCCUAGAGAGAUCGCGGCUGAAAGGAAAAUGCUCGCCAAACUGUUCGUGCCAACCCACAAACUGGAGGUCUCAAACUAUCUCCUUGACUGCUCUUGACGAAGUGGAAAUCAAUGGCUUCGAAGGACAAGAACAUGAGUUUGAUUUAUUGAAAUUAAUACUCAAAUGUGCACCAGCGCUUAAAAAGAUGAUACUGCAACUGUCACAGGAGGCCUCAUCUAAUAAUAGUGGAAGCGCUAAAAUAUAUGACAUCUGCAGUGCCAAUUCUUCAGUGGAAUGCUAUGUUUAUCAGAGCUCUAGGCUAAUGCAUGGCUGCCAAAUUUAUCCCUUGACAUGA
rnacentral:rRNA from 1 species